UGGCCUUUGGGGCAAAAUGGUCUUUUGACCUUAUUUGAUUUACUUUAAUAAAAGCUGAAUUUUGAGGAAAUGAAAUUAGAAAUUCUGGGUCCUCUCUCUCUCCUUAACCCGACCCCCUCUUCCUCUCUCUUUAUCAUCUUCAAUAUUUUACAACUUUGAAAUUAAGGCUUGGAUUGGAGAAAAGUUAAGGAGUUUGGGUGAUUUUGGUGCUUGGAGCUUAGAAAUUUGUGGAAAGGGUAAGUCAGUGGCUGAUCAACCAUGAGUUUGAGGAGCAAAACGAAGAAUGUACAUGUUCAAGCCAUAUCAGACCAAGCGGGUUAAGGGUCUAUCAGUGUUGAACUUUUGAAUUCUGUUUUGCCGCUUAGGUCGGCUAGAAAGAAAAGACUUGUAAUAAGUUUGUAAUUAUUUUUGGGAUCCCAACUAUUUUGAAAAGUUUAAAUAUAUUACAAGUUUAUUUUCAUUCUGAUUAAUAUAAAAGUUUAAAUUCUGCGCUA